CAGAGAAUAGUUUAUGAAAAAUAUUAAUUUUGGAGAUUAAAGAUAAGUUUAACAUUUUUCUCUGA
rnacentral:tRNA from 1 species